rnacentral:rRNA from 1 species
GCUAGGAUGAACGCUAGCGACAGGCCUAACACAUGCAAGUCGAGGGGCAGCACAAGGAGCAAUCUGAGGUGGCGACCGGCGCACGGGUGAGUAACACGUAUGCAACCUGCCUGUAAGCGGGGAAUAACCCGUUGAAAGACGGACUAAUACCGCAUAAUACUAAAUUACUGCAUGGUAAUUUAUUUAAACAUUUAUGGCUUACAGAUGGGCAUGCGCAUGAUUAGCUAGUUGGAGAGGUAACGGCUCCCCAAGGCAACGAUCAUUAGGGGUUCUGAGAGGAAGGUCCCCCACACUGGUACUGAGACACGGACCAGACUCCUACGGGAGGCAGCAGUGGGGAAUAUUGGUCAAUGGACGAGAGUCUGAACCAGCCAAGUCGCGUGCAGGAAGAAUGUCCUUAAUGGAUUGUAAACUGCUUUUGCAGGGGAAUAAAGUGCAUCACGUGUGAUGUUUUGUAUGUACUCUGCGAAUAAGGAUCGGCUAACUCCGUGCCAGCAGCUGC